CCUACGGGUGGCUGCAGUGGGGAAUAUUGGACAAUGGGGGGAACCCUGAUCCAGCCAUGCCGCGUGUGUGAAGAAGGCCCUCGGGUUGUAAAGCACUUUCAGUGAGGAAGAACGCCUGGUGGUUAAUACCCAUCAGGAAAGACAUCACUCACAGAAGAAGCACCGGCUAACUCCGUGCCAGCAGCCGCGGUAAUACGGAGGGUGCGAGCGUUAAUCGGAAUUACUGGGCGUAAAGCGCGCGUAGGUGGCUUGAUAAGCCGGUUGUGAAAGCCCCGGGCUCAACCUGGGAACGGCAUCCGGAACUGUCAAGCUAGAGUGCAGGAGAGGAAGGUAGAAUUCCCGGUGUAGCGGUGAAAUGCGUAGAGAUCGGGGGGAAUACCAGUGGCGAAGGCGGCCUUCUGGACUGACACUGACACUGAGGUGCGAAAGCGUGGGUAGCAAACAGGAUUAGAUACCCGGGUAGUC
rnacentral:rRNA from 1 species